AGAGUUUGAUCAUGGCUCAGAUUGAACGCUGGCGGCAGGCUUAACACAUGCAAGUCGAACGGUAACAGGAGAAAGCUUGCUUUCUUGCUGACGAGUGGCGGACGGGUGAGUAAUGCUUGGGAAUCUGGCUUAUGGAGGGGGAUAACUACGGGAAACUGUAGCUAAUACCGCGUAAUAUCUUCGGAUUAAAGGGUGGGACUUUCGGGCCACCUGCCAUAAGAUGAGCCCAAGUGGGAUUAGGUAGUUGGUGGGGUAAAGGCCUACCAAGCCGACGAUCUCUAGCUGGUCUGAGAGGAUGACCAGCCACACUGGAACUGAGACACGGUCCAGACUCCUACGGGAGGCAGCAGUGGGGAAUAUUGCACAAUGGGGGGAACCCUGAUGCAGCCAUGCCGCGUGAAUGAGGAAGGCCUUCGGGUUGUAAAGUUCUUUCGGUGAUGAGGAAGGUGUUUGUUUAAUAGAACAAACAAUUGACGUUAGUCACAGAAGAAGCACCGGCUAACUCCGUGCCAGCAGCCGCGGUAAUACGGAGGGUGCGAGCGUUAAUCGGAAUAACUGGGCGUAAAGGGCACGCAGGCGGUGACUUAAGUGAGAUGUGAAAGCCCCGAGCUUAACUUGGGAAUUGCAUUUCAUACUGGGUCGCUAGAGUACUUUAGGGAGGGGUAGAAUUCCACGUGUAGCGGUGAAAUGCGUAGAGAUGUGGAGGAAUACCGAAGGCGAAGGCAGCCCCUUGGGAAUGUACUGACGCUCAUGUGCGAAAGCGUGGGGAGCAAACAGGAUUAGAUACCCUGGUAGUCCGCGCUGUAAACGCUGUCGAUUUGGGGAUUGGGCUUUGAGCUUGGUGCCCGUAGCUAACGUGAUAAA
rnacentral:rRNA from 1 species